AUGGAAGAGAGUUCAGCUUAGUGGCGAACGGGUGAGUAACACGUGAGCAACCUGCCUUUCAGUGGGGGACAACAUUUGGAAACGAAUGCUAAUACCGCAUAAGACCACAGUGUCGCAUGGCACAGGGGUCAAAGGAUUUAUCCGCUGAAAGAUGGGCUCGCGUCCGAUUAGCUAGAUGGUGAGGUAACGGCCCACCAUGGCGACGAUCGGUAGCCGGACUGAGAGGUUGAACGGCCACAUUGGGACUGAGAUACGGCCCAGACUCC
rnacentral:rRNA from 1 species